rnacentral:rRNA from 1 species
AUGGAAUAUUACCAAGCACCCUCCACUAUUUUGGAUAGUAUUUAUGGUUCUACCUUUUUCUUAGCAACUGGCUUUCAUGGUUUUCAUGUGAUUAUAGGUACUCUUUUCUUGAUCGUAUGUGGUAUUCGCCAAUAUCUUGGUCAUCUGACCAAGAAGCAUCGCAUUGGCUUUGAAGCAGCUGCAUGGUACUAG